UACGGAGGGUGCAAGCGUUGUCCGGAUUUAUUGGGUUUAAAGGGAGCGUAGGCGGUCUUUUAAGUCAGCGGUGAAAUCCUCCAGCUUAACUGGAGAACUGCCAUUGAUACUGAAAGACUUGAGUACAGACGAGGUAGGCGGAAUUGACAGUGUAGCGGUGAAAUGCAUAGAUAUUGUCAAGAACACCGAUUGCGAAGGCAGCUUACUAGACUGUAACUGACGCUGAGGCUCGAAAGUGCAGGGAUCAAACAGG
rnacentral:rRNA from 1 species